CACCAUAAGGGAAACAUCAUCGUUUGAUUACACUAAUAUCCCAAAAUAUUUCAGUUUAGCACUUUUCUAAUGGCACCAGGGCUUCAUGCACGCGCUCUCCAUCUCUCAUUCCCGAAGCAACGCUAUGCUCUCUUUGCAACGACCACUCGAGUCAUUAAUUCACAACUUCUUGCAAAUUCUGAUGUCGUAUCUCAUGAUUUGUUUUCUACGAAUCUAUAAGUUCGAUUUCAGAUGUCAGAAGUAUUGGAUUUCUACCUGACAGAAAAUUUCUAAAGAGAAGAUCGUUGCAAUCAAGAAACUAACCCUUCGAGUGGAUAUGAUUAGACAUUUUCCUUAGCAAGUCAUCAUGGGAGCAACUGGACAUACACACAGCAAGUUGUGUCAUGAAAGGUAUAAGUAGCUUGCUUCUUUUGUUAUGCUUUGAAGAACAUUUACAUGGUGAUAUAGUUAGGAUAGAUGGACAUAAGUUAACAACUUCUAAAUAGAUGGAUAUAGUUAGGAAGAAUAGUCUGAUAACUAUUAAUAUAAAUAAAUUCUACUAGUGGAAGAUAUCUUUCCCAACUUACUUUAAAUUUAAUUGCACAAUUUCUAAGCAUAUCUUCCAAAACUUUAAUUACUCUUUCUGAUUUACUAUCUGUUUGAGGAUGAAAAGUUGUUCUAAAAUUAAAUUUAGUAUCUAGAGCUUCAUGUAAUUUUUCCUAGAAUUUGGAUGUGAAUCCUGGAUCUAUGUUUGAUAUGAUAGAGAUAGGAACACCAUGCAGUCUCACAAUUUCAUUAAUGUACAAUUUUGCAUACUUUUCCAAUGUAUAAUCUACUCUGAUUAGCAAGAAAUGUGUUGAUUUUUAAUGUACAAUUUUGCAUACUUUUCCAAUGUAUAAUCUACUCUGAUUAGCAAGAAAUGUGUUGAUUUAGUUAACCUGUCAACUAUUAUCCAAAUGGCAUCUUUCUUCCUUAGUGUGAGUAGCAAUCCUAUUAUAAAAUUCAUAGUAAUUCUAUCCCAUUUCCAUUUUGAUAUAGCAAUAGGCUGCAAUAACCCUGAUGGAACCUGAUAUCCUACUUGUACCCAUUGACAUGUCAAACAUUUUGUUACAAAUUUAACUAUAUCUCUUUUCAUACUAGGCCACCAAUAGUGCACCUUCAAAUCUUGAUUCAUCUUAGUACUACCUGAAUGCAUAACAUAUGGACUAUUGUGUACCUCUGUAAGAAUACUCUGUUUCAACUCUCUAGUGUUAGGUACACAUAUUCUGUUACCAUAGUACAAGUAGCCAUCAUCACUUAUCACAUGCUUUUGCUUCUUCCCCUCAUCUUCCAAACCUCCAUAAUCUAUCCAUCCUUGAGAGAGCUAGCACUCUAGAAGGAUAGAAGACGUUCGUGUGGAUACCAUUGAGGGUGUUCGUUUGAAAAAGCAGCAUCAUCAGUCCGGAAUUGUAUCUUCUCGACGAGAUUAACAGGGAUGUGGACAACUGCAUUGAAAACUCUUCCACUGGCCAGCCAGGAGACAUGUACAGCAAUGGAACUUUACCACAACCAAUUGAAAGUAAGGUUACUGAAUGAGAAGGAUCCCACUGUUUAUUAGCGUGCUGACUGGUUGGUUGAUAAGUUGGGUACAAAAGUGCAUUCCUACUUCUGGCUUUAUGAGUACUCAGAAAAGGAUGAUUUUGCAAGAUACUGGAAAGAUGAGUGGGACAGUGGUUUAACAGCUUGGCGCAAAUCAUUUAAGAUUCUAGACCUUGAUGUCAUUGUAGAAGAUAGAUGUGCAAAAGUUACUGACCAGCUUGAUCGAGAUAGGGUUUAUGUUGUCUGGAACCCUAGUUCAGAUUUUCUAUUUGUGAUUGUUGUUGUUCAGAAAUGGGCAACAUAUGUUAGCAUGUAUCUAAAGUUAUAAGAAUGUACUACAACAAAGGGUAUAGGAAGUCAUCUAUUAGCCUAUUUCAGUUCAACAAGGCCUUGACUGAUAUGCUAUACUGUCCACCUCAUGAUUCUCUGAUUCGUGAUCAUGUUGUUUCUCUAGCUGUUGCUAUAUAGAAGUAACUAGAUGCACAAGUUGAUUUUGAUAGCAGCCAUGUUAUUGUGGAGCCUAGUCAGAACAAAACCUUGGAUAAUCUUGAGCAGCCGGGUGGGAUGAAUUAUGCGAAUCAUGAUAGAGAAUUAGCGAAUGAGUGUCAUUUAAUGUUUGGAUCCAUUAUGUAUUUUGAGAUAUUUUAAGUUUCUUAGUAUUGAACUAUAGUAAUGUUUUGGACUUUUAGAUUACAGAAUUAUGAAAUGAAGUUGUGUAUAUAUUGUCUUUGAU